GUAGGGAAUCUUGCGCAAUGGGCGAAAGCCUGACGCAGCCAUGCCGCGUGAAUGAUGAAGGUCUUAGGAUUGUAAAAUUCUUUCACCGGGGACGAUAAUGACGGUACCCGGAGAAGAAGCCCCGGCUAACUUCGUGCCAGCAGCCGCGGUAAUACGAAGGGGGCUAGCGUUGCUCGGAAUUACUGGGCGUAAAGGGAGCGUAGGCGGAUAGUUUAGUCAGAGGUGAAAGCCCAGGGCUCAACCUUGGAAUUGCCUUUGAUACUGGCUAUCUUGAGUAUGGAAGAGGUAUGUGGAACUCCGAGUGUAGAGGUGAAAUUCGUAGAUAUUCGGAAGAACACCAGUGGCGAAGGCGACAUACUGGUCCAUUACUGACGCUGAGGCUCGAAAGCGUGGGGAGCAAACAGGAUUAGAUACCCCGGUAGUCC
rnacentral:rRNA from 1 species